AGCUUUAUGCAGUGGCAGUAUCAUAGCCAAUGAGGUUUAUCUGAGGCGCAAUUAUUACUAAUUGAAAGCUUUUAUAGUU
rfam:Cavia porcellus supercont2_5 genomic scaffold, whole genome shotgun sequence.